UGCGGCCGCGAUACCGGUUGAUCCUGCCGGACCCGACCGCUAUCGGGGUGGGGCUAAGCCAUGGAAGUCGCACGCCCACUAAGUAGUGGGCGUGGCGGACGGCUGAGUAACACGUGGCUAACCUACCCUCAGGACAGGGAUAGUCCCGGGAAACUGGGACUAAUCCCUGAUAGGUGGGGAUACCUGGAAUGGUCCCCACCGAAAGGGUCAGACCGCAAUGCAGGUCUGACCGCCUGAGGAUGGGGCUGCGGCCCAUCAUGGUAG
rnacentral:rRNA from 1 species